AGAACGAACGCUGGCGGCAUGCCUAAUACAUGCAAGUCGAACGAACACUUCGGUGUUAGUGGCGCACGGGUGCGUAACGCGUGGGAAUCUGCCCUUGGGUUCGGAAUAACAGUUGGAAACGACUGCUAAUACCGGAUGAUGACGAAAGUCCAAAGAUUUAUCGCCCUGGGAUGAGCCCGCGUAGGAUUAGCUAGUUGGUGAGGUAAAGGCUCACCAAGGCGACGAUCC
rnacentral:rRNA from 1 species